ACUCCUACGGGAGGCAGCAGUGGGGAAUCUUGCGCAAUGGGCGAAAGCCUGACGCAGCCAUGCCGCGUGGAUGAUGAAGGUCUUAGGAUUGUAAAAUCCUUUCACCGGGGACGAUAAUGACGGUACCCGGAGAAGAAGCCCCGGCUAACUUCGUGCCAGCAGCCGCGGUAAUACGAAGGGGGCUAGCGUUGCUCGGAAUUACUGGGGCGUAAAGGGCGCGUAGGCGGACAGUUAAGUUGGGGGUGAAAGCCCGGGGGCUCAACCUCGGAAUUGCCUUCAAUACUGGCUGUCUUGAGUACGGGAGAGGUGAGUGGAACUCCGAGUGUAGAGGUGAAAUUCGUAGAUAUUCGGAAGAACACCAGUGGCGAAGGCGACUCACUGGCCCGUUACUGACGCUGAGGCGCGAAAGCGUGGGGAGCAAACAGGAUUAGAUACCCUGGUAGCGACUGA
rnacentral:rRNA from 1 species